GCACUGCUGAGGAGUCCCAGGACGAAACGGCCGUCCAGUGC
rfam:Schistosoma curassoni strain Dakar, Senegal genome assembly, scaffold: SCTD_scaffold0003302